AGGAUUAUAGUUAAAAAUAACAUUUAAUUUGCAAUUAAAAAGUACUUAAUUAGUUAAUCUUU
rnacentral:tRNA from 1 species